GUAUAUAUGCAAUAGCACAUAUACUAAAAUUGGAACCAUACAGAGAAGGUUAGUAAGGCCCCUGAGCAAAAGGCAAGUCACAGAUUUUCUAAUUAGCAUUGCUGAGUAUU
ensembl:snRNA U6 U6 spliceosomal RNA